CUGCAUCCACUGAUAGACCUUGAACAAGUUACUGUUGUUCACUGGUUUGCACUAGGGUGCCAAAGAGAAGUCCUCGCGCUUUCUGUCUGUCUCUCUGUGGCAGCCCAGAUUGAAUAGAGGAAUACAUUU
ensembl:snoRNA SNORA31 small nucleolar RNA, H/ACA box 31